rnacentral:rRNA from 1 species
AUUGAACGCUGGCGGCAGGCCUAACACAUGCAAGUCGAGCGGAGCGGCGGACGGGUGAGUAAUGCCUAGGAAUCUGCAUGGUAGUGGGGGCUAACGUCCGGAACCGGGCGCUAAUACCGCAUACUAUCAGCUUAGCCUUGGUGGGAUUAGAUAGUUGGUGGGGUAAAGGCCUACCAAGGCGAAGAUCCGUAACUGGUUUGAGAGGAUGAUCAGUCACACUGGAACUUAGACACGGUCCAGACUCCUAAGUGAAGGAGCAGUGGGGAAUAUGGGACAAAGGGCGAAAGGCUGAUCCAGCCAUGGCGCGUUGGGUAAGAAGGUCUUCGGAUUGAAAAGGACGGUAAGUUGGGUGGCGUUGCCAACAGAAGAAGCACCGGCUAACUUCGUGCCAGCGGGCGCGGUAAUAC